GGGGAAUAUUGCGCAAUGGGGGAAACCCUGACGCAGCAACGCCGCGUGAGCGAAGAAGGCCUUCGGGUCGUAAAGCUCUGUCAUCAGGGACGAAGUAAGUGACGGUACCUGAGGAGGAAGCCCCGGCUAACUACGUGCCAGCAGCCGCGGUAACACGUAGGGGGCGAGCGUUGUCCGGAAUUACUGGGCGUAAAGGGUGCGUAGGCGGUCUGUUAAGUCAGAUGUGAAAGACCUGGGCUCAACCCGGGAUGUGCAUCUGAGACUGGCGGACUUGAGUGCAGGAGAGGGAAGUGGAAUUUCUAGUGUAGCGGUGGAAUGCGUAGAUAUUAGGAAGAACACCAGUGGCGAAGGCGGCUUCCUGGACUGUAACUGACGCUGAGGCACGAAAGCGUGGGGAGCGAAC
rnacentral:rRNA from 1 species